CCCAUUUAUCAAUACACCUUAUCGCUAUUCCCGCUUGACCCGAGAAUCUGUCCCGCUUGAACUUUUGACGUCAUACAACAAUCACUUUUCCAUUGUGGCGUCAGAUAUUUUCUAUUAUGACGUCAAAAUUUUACGGGAACUUUUGUGAUGUCCAGUAAUGGCGGACAAAUAGCGAUAAGGUGUAUAGUAUAUAUGUAAUUAUAUACAUUUUUAGCCUAAUGUCAUUUCAUAUAAACCUCUACUGGUUGCUGUGUUAAUGUUGUAAUAACAUUUACAUUGAAUUGAAAAUAUAUUUGAUGUAUUUCGAUGUGGUAUCUUUACAAAAUUUUCAAUUCUGCAUGGAUUAUGAAUGAUAGUAUUUUCAUGGCCGUUCUAGAGUUAUGCCCAGUUACAAAACGAAAAAUUGCUGAAUUUUUCGUUUCCGUUCUCUAACUUUAGUUUGCCUCAACCAAAUGUUAUGAAACUUAUACACAAUGCUUAUUACCACAAAAUACAGAUCAAGUUUGAAUUUUGGGGGUGUCACUUUUACUGUUCUAGAGUCAUGCCCCUUUACAAAUGGAAAAAUUGCUGAAUUUUUCGUUUCCAUUCUCUAAAGUUUGCCUCAACCAAAUUUUAUGAAACUUAUACACAAUACGUAUUACCACAAAACUCAGAUCAAGUACAAAUUUGGGUAGCGUAUCUCUUACCGUUCUUCAGUUAUGUCCCUUUAUAACUUUAUAUGAUAUGCAAGCGGGGGCAUCAUCUGUGUCCUAUGGACACAUCCCCCAUUUAUUUUUUUUAACCAUGGAUGAAAUACCUAUGCCCAUGAAUGUAUAAAUUUUCAGUUUUACUCUUUAUCACAAGAAUUCAGUGUAAAUGGGUAAACAAAACGUAACUAAGCAGACUUAUAGUUUACAUUCAAGUUUGGGUUGAAUAAUUUCAAAUGUUUCCUUAUUAAGUACAUCACACGUCGUUUUUGCCAUCGAUCUUUGUUGCAUUUGUUAUGGUUCUGAUGUUAUUUGUUUUUUAUGACAUUAAAUUUUUUUUUUU